CAGCGCCAAUUAAAUGUUGUCCUUAUAAGAGUUGUGUUGGUCAUGGUGUCUGUUCACAGCAGUAAGCCCUAACUAAUACAGUGGGGUAGCUGGGAAAAAGUGGUCUAAAUGGGAAAGGAGAUAAACUCUGCCCAUUAAUGUUUAGUGGAUAUGAUAUACUAUUGUUUGACACUGUCUUUAGGGGUUUCUUUACAUUCUCAGUGAUGGGAACAGAACCAGAAUGGGGGAAGUUGCUGGGGAGAAGGACUACAAAGGUUAAACAGGUUGAGUUGUCUGGCAGCUCCAAGAACAGGUGAGAAAUAUGGCCCCAGAGGGCAGUAAAUUGAACCUUUUAGCAGGUUUAUUGUUUUCUGUGGUUUUUGUUUAAGAAGACUUCCAUUAUAUAUCACCUUGAGUUUGGGUUUUUUUUUUUUUGGUUGUUGUUGUUUUUUUUUUUUUUUUUUUUUGCAUAGCAGAUUUAUUCAACAGGUUUAUUCUUUUACCAGGUCUCAUAGUAUUUCAGAACUUGUUAUGUGGGGUCUUAUUUAUCAAGAGACUUUAUGACUUGAUCAGUUAUGAAUUUUAAAAUGUUUUACUAAUACCAUAAGAUGUGUUAUGAUUUAUAGGCCUUGUGUUGAUUUCAUUAGGAGUUUUCUUUGGGAACUAAGACUCACUGGAGGUAGCUGAAUGCAAGCAAAUUGCCUGGCUUGUUUGUAAUGAACAAACGUGGUACCUGUGGGAUCCCUUUGAGGGCUCACUCUCUUAGCUUCCUGUAUGGGAUUGAGAUGUGAUCUCUCAGCUUCCUGCUCCAGCCACCUGUUGUCAUGCCUCCUUACCAUGAUAGACUCUACCUGGAGAACUACAGAGAUGCUGAGGAAGGAAAUAUAACUUCAGGCUUAUUAAUGGCUCCUGGUACAAGGUUCCCUAGUGCUGUACCAGGUUGGUAACUACAGCCAGGACCAUUCAGCCUUGGUGAGUUAAAGCUGAGAUUUGAUUCUUCAUUUAAUUCUCCUCCCUGUGCUUCAGAGUAUACCAUAGCACUCAAUUUUGGCACAAGCUGACACACAGACUGUCCCUCCAAAUGGCUCCUGUGUUCCUGUCAUCCAUCUCAUGCCUCUUCCGCAAUCACAUGGUGACCCCAAGUCUCCUCAAACUCACCCCUCUCCUCCAGACACGAUGUAAAGCAUUGGGCAGUCCAUUGAUGACCUAUGCAUGACCACCCUGCAUCCAUUUACAUCAGAGGUCAUUUUCUGGCCAUUCUCAGGAUAUACUCCAGACUGUCUGAUGACAAUGAGUUUUUUUCUAGGUAUAUCUUGUACUAACCUUGACCUAGCUCUCUUACCAUGUGACCUUAGGCUGCUCCUUCUGAGCUCUGCCGGGUUACGUGUCAGGGGAAGGAAGACAUCAAGUUUUCCUUCUCUGAAAAAUUAUGAGCACCGAAGUUUAGCAAAAAAAACCCCAUGCUUCGUGUAAGUUGUAAAGUGCUGUGUGCAAGAGGAGCCCAAACACAAUGCCUGGGUUAACAGCCCCUCCUCCCCAGUCACAUGAACAGACAGUGAGAUGGAAGCAGAGCUUCACCUGGCAUUUCAGCCUCCCAACGCAGUGUGAAAUGUGAGUCCCACGAGCUCUGCUCUGUAUCGCUGAAUGGUAUUUUGAGGCAGUAUUUCUGUUCUGUUCUCAGAACUGUCUGAGCCCUGCCUCUAACAGCCUUGGUAGAGAGAUGCUCACACGGAAGAAUCCCCUCUGAGGGGUUGACAGCAACGGUCCUUCUUCCCCAAGUUACAUCUUGGUCCUGCUUCCCUUGUGGCAUGCUGGUGAAGCCUGACCUCCCCAUAACCCUGAGCUGGCUGCAAAUCCUGCCCUGAAGGUGGUGGCCCUUGAGAAUCCUCUCCAAACUUCUCUUCAAAACCUUAAGGGUCAGGAUUUGAGUCCACGAAAUGCACGAAGAGGAGAAAGAUGAACAGAAGAGGUGAAUCUCUAAUGCUCACAUGCCCACUUCACAAGAGAGCGAAGCAGUAGACUGCAGCAACAGAGAGAGACUAAGCAGAGGGUGACCGACCGGCGAAGCCUGGGACAGCUCUUUGCUGAUGUUCAGCAGCCAACAAACAGCAAAUACACCGCAGAGUGCAGCUCUCUCAGCACAAAAUGGUGUGUGGACCUGGAAGACGACAGCUUUCUGCAAAGGCAUUUUCAAAUUUCCUUUCCUUUGAGGAGAGAAACUUCUGGAAACAUUGUGAGCAAGUUAUUCCAGUGUUCGUUUUCCCCCCACUUAAAUCCUACCAUCUGAAUCUUAUUCCGUGAAGCCUAUAGCAACUGUAUGGAUGUAGUCAGGAAUUCAAUUUUAUAAUGACAUUAGCAGACACAAUAUGCUCUGCAGUGGGCCUGGCUGGCCCUUGCAGUUGCAGAGACAAAGAGGGCACAGACUCAUCCUACCAGGAUGAAUUACUCAGAGUAUUAGAGACACGGGCAUAUCUUCACAGAGUCCUUUAACAGCUGUAGCAAAUGACUAAUGUUAGGACAGAAGUCCCAGAAGGGACAAGGAAAUGGGAGGAGAGAUUGCCCUGGGUGGGGAGGAAGUUAUUUCGUACUUGUUGGGUUCUACUUUGGGGAAAAAAUGGGGUGCCUGCACAUCCCUGAAAUGUUAGACACUAGAUGUUUCCUGGGGUCUACAAGAGAAGGAAACAGGUUCUGGAUACUUAUUGUCCUAUUUUUUUUUCAUUUGAAAAUAAAAACAGAGAUAUGGCCAGA